rnacentral:rRNA from 1 species
UGGGGAAUAUUGGACAAUGGAGGAAACUCUGAUCCAGCAAUUCUGUGUGUGUGAAGAAGGUCUUCGGAUUGUAAAACACUUUUAGUUGGGAAGAAACAAAUGACGGUACCAACAGAAGAAGCGACGGCUAAAUACGUGCCAGCAGCCGCGGUAAUACGUAUGUCGCAAGCGUUAUCCGGAAUUAUUGGGCUUAAAGGGCAUCUAGGCGGUAUAACAAGUUGAAGGUGAAAAGCUGUAGCUCAACUAUAGUCUUGCCUACAAAACUGUAAUACUAGAGUACUGGAAAGGUGGGUGGAACUACACGAGUAGAGGUGAAAUUCGUAGAUAUGUGUAGGAAUGCCGAUGAUGAAGAUAACUCACUGGACAGAAACUGACGCUGAAGUGCGAAAGCUAGGGGAGCAAACA